rnacentral:rRNA from 1 species
UACAGAGGGUGCAAGCGUUAAUCGGAAUUACUGGGCGUAAAGCGUGCGCAGGCGGUGAUGUAAGGCAGAUGUGAAAUCCCCGGGCUCAACCUGGGAACUGCAUUUGUGACUGCAUCGCUGGAGUGCGGCAGAGGGGGAUGGAAUUCCGCGUGUAGCAGUGAAAUGCGUAGAUAUGCGGAGGAACACCGAUGGCGAAGGCAAUCCCCUGGGCCUGCACUGACGCUCAUGCACGAAAGCGUGGGGAGCAAACAGG